CAUCUCUAUCUAAACUAUGAUGUAGAAGAGAAGAGCCAUGCUCCUAUCAUCUCUUUCAAAUUAAUGUUCCAAUAUCUUCUUGUCAUUUUUUCCACACUUCCUUUUUUAAUCCUACCAUUCCAUUACGGAAUUUAGUUCUUUUUUACUUUAGAUCCAUCUAAGAUUUCGAUUCCCAGUAAAAAAUAUAGAAUAGAAAAAUAUGGGACAAAAAAUAAAUCCACUCGGUUUCAGAGGAGAAAUCGCCCAAGGAGGGGCUCGCGUCUGAUUAGCUAGUUGGUGAGGUAAUAGCUUACCAAGGCGAUGAUCAGUAGCUGGUCCGAGAGGAUGAUCAGCCACACACGGACUGAGACACGGCCCAGACUCCUACGGGAGGCAG
rnacentral:rRNA from 1 species